rnacentral:misc_RNA from 1 species
UCAAACUUGGUCAUUUAGAGGAAGUAAAAGUCGUAACAAGGUUUCCGUAGGUGAACCUGCGGAAGGAUCAUUACAGAGUAACUCGGUUCCCUUUUGGGUCCGGCUACCCGUCCUUUGUCAUUUGAUUUUAUCAAGUAACUUCCCAGGAGGCGUUGCGCCGUUGUGGCCUUGUGCUGCACGGGGCGACCGCCUGGGGUUUUUUUGCAAACUCUUGCGAGCAAUCGUGAAGUCUGAAUACUAUUGAAAAAAAGCAAAACUUUCAACAACGGAUCUCUUGGCUCUGGCAUCGAUGAAGAACGCAGC